CUCAUUUUUCUACUGCUCGUGGAUUUACGCGCACGUUGGAACCGAAGAGAGCUCUGUUGUUGCAAUGUUCAGCCCACAAGAGCUUACUGGUGAAGGAAUGGGACAAGACCCAUCUUUAUGCAAAGCCAGCGUUACAGUAAUGUUCCAGCAUCUCAUAAUCUAUCCUGGGGAAUUCAGCUGCCUCCCAGGGUGAAUACAGGAAAACUAGGUGUCUGUGUUCACUCCAGGCUGAAGUUACAGGUCUGAGCAAAUAAGGUGUAUAAAAAAUGGACAUCAGAAGGUGAAUUUUCCAAGUUCUUGGACAACCUAGCUGUUGAAAAGCUUUCUGGGUUUGGGGGGUAUUUCAGAUGUACCUUAAAGUGUUAGCAGACACAGAUUAAGACACUGGGAGCCAAUGAAACAGCAGUUGAGGGUUUGCUGUGUAUCACAUUUCUGUAUUUUAUCACCCCCUUCCUGCAACAUUAUUUAUCUGGAAUCUACCUGCCCUUUUGUUUUUUAGAUACAAGGGCUUGGUUUUGUUACCCAGGCUGGUUUCAAGGCCAUAGCUUUAAGAGAUCCUCUCACCACAGAUUUCCAAAGUGCUGGGAUUGCAGGUGUGAUUCAUGGCACCCAGACUUUGCUGCCUUUCUUACAUGAUCCAGGCCCAGAACCCAAACUCAGGCACUGUAUAGAUGACCACUUUCGUAAACUACUGACCUAGCUUGUUGCCAAUUGUUGAUUGAACUUCCCAUAACUCCACUUCGUGUCUGUUCCUCUGUAUACAGCCACCUUCUGUUCCCGUCAUGAGCCUUUAGGUCUCCAUUUGCAUAUUGCAAAUACUAUGUUCCAUGUAGGUAGCUCAUUCAGGGCCUUGCUCUUCACUUCAAAAAAGGUUCCCUUGAGGACUGGCUGUCAAUUUGUGUUGCUGUGUUGGUUGUUGAUGAAAAUAAUAAAAUGAUUGAUUACA
rnacentral:lncRNA from 1 species